ACCCCCAACUUGCUUGCCACUCACUUUUAUGUGUGAAAUGUUCCACUCAGCUCCAUUCCAUAAUCAAAGGCUGUUGAAAUAUCAAGACUCAAUUAAUUAUUACAAUUCCUGGCAGCAGUGUGAAAGUUAGUGGGUGGAGACCUCAUUGCGUUUAAUUUUGCACGGACUUCUACCCUGACACACAGCUUCUCUGCUCUUGAGGACUAUAUAACCUACAGUUACUCUGCCAGGGAUGGAGGACUGAGGAAGACAGUUGGCAGAUGAAGAAAUAAAGACAAAUUCCAGAGACAGAAAACCAAUUGCUCUAUGAGGUUCUGACAACCCAAAGAAAACCACACUUCAAAUAACUUCUGUAUUUCUGUGAAGGAGAUCAUUAUCUUGUUUUGCAGAUUUGGGAAAGAUGAAGCAACAAAAGAGAGGAACAAGACAAUUUUAUUUAUAUGAAUCUGAGAGAAGGAAAGACAUAUUGGCCACAAGCUUUAAGGGAAUGGAAUGGAAUUAAACAUUUAAAUACAUAUUUGUUGAUGAUCAAUAAUGAAUUAUUUCUUCUAAUGGUGAACACUUUUCUUUUGCAUGUUAGUAACUACUGAUUUGGGGAUCAGUUCAUUAUAUAGUUUUUUUUUAAAAAUAUAUAAAAUGAAUUUGUAAUAGAAAAGAGCUAUACUAUAUGUACAGUAUAUUAUAGUGUACAUAACUGCAAUUCAUAAUAUUCCUGAGAAAUCUUCAAUCCUGUUGAUUUUUAAAGAAUCAUUAUUUCCUUCAAAUUGUUCUUUUUAAUUGUAUUCCAUUUUGUGAAAAUUACCCAAGCUAAAUCAGAUUGCAGAUACAUCCAUAAAUCAACUAACAGUUGUGGUUGUUUUUUAAAAAAGCUUUCCAUGUGAAAUGAUUGUUGAUCAUGAGGAUACCACCACUGAAAAAGCCUUGCACUUUAUCUCUGCUACUAUAACCACCAAGAGCGAAGAGAGCUGGAAUAAAUUACUUCUGAUGACUACACAGUGUAUGUUUGCA